GAGCAAUUGAUUUAAUGAAGCCUCUUCUUAAGUUAUAACUCCCAUGCUGCACGGAUGAUCUCUGAAGAUUUUCAAUAAUUUCAUACCAUUUUAAGGUUUACCAUGGAUGAGAGAAGAUGGUGAUGCACUUGACAUUGUUGCCUUAUCUAGAAUGAAAUAAUUAUGUGCUGAAGUAAGCAACAUUAAAGGUUAGAGUCGUAUAUUCAAUGUUCUUAUUCUUAACGAGAUGGACAAUUUAUCUCCCCAUGACCAUUGGGCUUAUCGUCGGUUUUUCUGAAUUUAUAGAUCUCUUUGGCUAAAUUUCGUCGCGAAUUGUGUAUCCAUGGUGUGGGUGUGUCGCACACAUUUUUAUAUGCUAAUUUAUUUGUAGAUUUGAUUAUGAUAUCAAUAAUUUAGUUGUAGAGGACAGUAUUUUAUUGGUCUUGUUUUGAGAUUCCGUAGAUAAUUAUUAGGUAUUAUAAUUAUCAUAUUUAAUUUCUCUAUCGGGGUUCACUUUUGCCUAUCAAAGUUAGUCGCGUUGGUUCAAG
rnacentral:misc_RNA from 1 species